rnacentral:rRNA from 1 species
UACGUAGGUGGCAAGCGUUGUCCGGAUUUACUGGGCGUAAAGGGCGUGUAGGCGGUUUGUCUCGUCUAGGGUGAAAGCCCCCGGCUUAACUGGGGGAGGUCCUUGGAUACUGGCAAACUUGAGGGAGGCAGAGGAAAGUGGAAUUCCCGGUGUAGUGGUGAUAUGCGUAGAUAUCGGGAGGAACACCAGUGGCGAAGGCGGCUUUCUGGGCCUCACCUGACGCUGAGACGCGAAAGCGUGGGGAGCGAACCGG